CAACAGCAGCCUUCUUCUCUCUCUCUUUUUUUUAAUCUGUGAAGUAGAUUUAGGCCUUUCUGUAAUUACAGCUUUAGUGAACCAAAGCUGCCAUGCCCUGAAUUUCCACUAGAUGGCAGUGAAAUCUUAGUGUUCAACCCUCGGUAACCGAAAGUCAGACUCCCACAGCUAAGGCUGCUUUCUGGUGGAGGCCAGGUAGAUGGUACAACAGGCUGGAGGCAAGUGUGCCUCCGAGCUGUCUCUUCCCCACCCCUACACUUUUAAAACCGCUUUCCGUUUCCCUUGCCCUUAUCUUGAUGAAGCUCUCCAAGGUUUCCAGCCCAUUUGCCUGCAGCCUGGCGUCAUUACAGACGGAAGCCUUGUGUGAACACUUAGCUGAUGUCUGGUUCCAGCUGAUGUCUGGAACCUUCUCCUGUUGCUGCUCUCUUGGUGUCUGCUUGAGACAGGUUCUGUUCUGCCCGUGGGCCUUACCUCCUCAUCUGUGUGAGAGUCCUGACACCACCCUUAAUACAGAGUGGGUGUGUGAAGUGAGCGUACAUGCACAGUGCACGAGGCCG